rnacentral:rRNA from 1 species
AUUGAACGCUGGCGGCAGGCCUAACACAUGCAAGUCGAACGGUAACAGGAAGAAGCUUGCUUCUUUGCUGACGAGUGGCGGACGUGUGAGUAAUGUCUGGGAAACUGCCUGAUGGAGGGGGAUAACUACUGGAAACGGUAGCUAAUACCGCAUAACGUCGCAAGACCAAAGAGGGGGACCUUCGGGCCUCUUUCCAUCGGAUGUGCCCAGAUGGGAUUAGCUAGUAGGUGGGGUAACGGCUCACCUAGGCGACGAUCCCUAGCUGGUCUGAGAGGAUGACCAGCCACACUGGAACUGAGACACGGUCCAGACUCCUACGGGAGGCAGCAGUGGGGAAUCUUGCACAAUGGGCGAAAGCCUGAUGCAGCCAUGCCGCGUGUAUGAAGAAGGCCUUCGGGUUGUAAAGUACUUUCAGCGGGGAGGAAGGGAGUAAAGUUAAUACCUUCGCUCAUUGACGUUACCCGCAGAAGAAGCACCGGCUAACUCCGUG